rnacentral:rRNA from 1 species
AACGAACGCUGGCGGCAGGCUUAACACAUGCAAGUCGAGCGCCCCGCAAGGGGAGCGGCAGACGGGUGAGUAACGCGUGGGAAUCUACCCAUCUCUACGGAAUAACCCAGGGAAACUUGGACUAAUACCGUAUACGUCCUUCGGGAGAAAGAUUUAUCGGAGAUGGAUGAGCCCGCGUUGGAUUAGCUAGUUGGUGGGGUAAAGGCCUACCAAGGCGACGAUCCAUAGCUGGUCUGAGAGGAUGAUCAGCCACACUGGGACUGAGACACGGCCCAGACUCCUACGGGAGGCAGCAGUGGGGAAUAUUGGACAAUGGGCGAAAGCCUGAUCCAGCCAUGCCGCGUGAGUGAUGAAGGCCCUAGGGUUGUAAAGCUCUUUCAACGGUGAAGAUAAU